CAGUAGCCGCGGGAAUACGUAGGUGGCAAGCGUUGUCCGGAAUUAUUGGGCGUAAAGCGCGCGCAGGCGGAUCAGUUAGUCUGUCUUAAAAGUUCGGGGCUUAACCCCGUGAGGGGAUGGAAACUGCUGAUCUAGAGUAUCGGAGAGGAAAGUGGAAUUCCUAGUGUAGCGGUGAAAUGCGUAGAUAUUAGGAAGAACACCAGUGGCGAAGGCGACUUUCUGGACGAAAACUGACGCUGAGGCGCGAAAGCCAGGGGAGCAAACAGGAUUAGAGACCCGUGUAGUCCCUGUCUCUUAUACA
rnacentral:rRNA from 1 species